UACGGGGGGGGCUAGCGUUGUUCGGAAUUACUGGGCGUAAAGGGCUCGUAGGUGGCCAACUAAGUCAGACGUGAAAUCCCUCGGCUUAACCGGGGAACUGCGUCUGAUACUGGAUGGCUUGAAUCCGGGAGAGGGAUGCGGAAUUCCAGGUGUAGCGGUGAAAUGCGUAGAUAUCUGGAGGAACACCGGUGGCGAAGGCGGCAUCCUGGACCGGCAUUGACACUGAGGAGCGAAAGCCAGGGGAGCAAACGGG
rnacentral:rRNA from 1 species